rnacentral:rRNA from 1 species
GAUGAACGCUGGCGGCGUGCCUAACACAUGCAAGUCGAGCGAUUCUCUUCGGAGAAGAGCGGCGGACGGGUGAGUAACGCGUGGGUAACCUGCCCUGUACACACGGAUAACAUACCGAAAGGUAUGCUAAUACGAGAUAAUAUGCUUUUAUCGCAUGGUAGAAGUAUCAAAGUUUUUGCGGUACAGGAUGGACCCGCGUCUGAUUAGCUAGUUGGUAAGGUAACGGCUUACCAAGGCGACGAUCAGUAGCCGACCUGAGAGGGUGAUCGGCCUCAUUGGAACUGAGACACGGUCCAAACUCCUACGGGAGGCAGCAGUGGGGAAUAUUGCACAAUGGGCGAAAGCCUGAUGCAGCAACGCCGCGUGAGCGAUGAAGGCCUUCGGGUCGUAAAGCUCUGUCCUCAAGGAAGAUAAUGACGGUACUUGAGGAGGAAGCCCCGGCUAACUACGUGCCAGCAGCCGCCGUAA